rnacentral:tRNA from 1 species
GAGCGGUGCGGACCGGCUCCUGGUCACCGGGCUCGGCCCGGUCGGCGCGGCGGCGGCCAUGGUCGCCCGCGCGUUCGGCGUGCGCACCGUGUAC